rnacentral:rRNA from 1 species
UACGUAGGGGGCAAGCGUUGUCCGGAAUUAUUGGGCGUAAAGAGCGUGUAGGCGGUCCGGUAAGUCAGCUGUGAAAGUCAAGGGCUCAACCCUUGAAAGCCGGUUGAUACUGUCGGGCUAGAGUGCGGAAGAGGCGAGUGGAAUUCCUGGUGUAGCGGUGAAAUGCGCAGAUAUCAGGAGGAACACCAAUUGCGAAGGCAGCUCGCUGGGACGUUACUGACGCUGAGACGCGAAAGCGUGGGGAGCAAACAGG